GAUGCUGGCCUUUCGGGGCAUGUGCUCGCACUCAAUCUAUUUAUCUUCACUUGUGCACCUCUUGUAGUCUUCAGAGUCGUCUUCCGCUGCAAAUGCGGGUUUUGGGGUUUUCAUGCCCUGGACUCUUGAAGACUAUGUUUUCAUAUACCUUAAAAAUGUUAUAGAAUGCUUUUUAUCGGUCGAAAGGCCUUUAAACCUAAUACAACUUUCAACAACGGAUCUCUUGGCUCUCCCAUCGAUGAAGAACGCAGCGAAAUGCGAUAAGUAAUGUGAAUUGCAGAAUUCAGUGAAUCAUCGAAUCUUUGAACGCACCUUGCGCCCUUUGGUAUUCCGAAGGGCAUGCCUGUUUGAGUGUCAUUAAAUUAUCAACCUUGAAGUUUUUUCUUCUUGGCUUGGAUGUGAGGGCUUGCUGGCUUCCUUCAGUGGAUUGGUCUGCUCCCUUUAAAUGCAUUAGUGGGAUCUCUUGUGGACCGUCACUGGGUGUGAUAAUUAUCUACGCCGUUUGACUUCAAGAACCUGCUCAUAACCGUCCUCACGGACAACUUCCUUA
rnacentral:rRNA from 1 species